UACGUAGGGAGCAAGCGUUGUCCGGAAUCAUUGGGCGUAAAGCGCGCGUAGGUGGCUUCAUAAGUCCGUUGUGAAAGUCAAAGGCUCAACCUUUGAAUGCCGAUGGAUACUGUGGAGCUAGAGUACGGAAGAGGCGAGUGGAAUUCCUGGUGUAGCGGUGGAAUGCGCAGAUAUCAGGAGGAACACCGGUGGCGAAGGCGGUUCUCUGGGAAUUAACUGACGCUGAGGAGCGAAAGCAUGGGGAGCGAACAGG
rnacentral:rRNA from 1 species